ACACCGGCAGCUCAAGUGGUAGCCGCUUUUAUUGGGCCUAAAGCGUCCGUAGCCGGUCUGAUAAGUCUCUGGUGAAAUCCCACAGCUUAACUGUGGGAAUUGCUGGAGAUACUAUCAUGACUCGAGGUCGGGAGAGGCUGGAGGUACUCCCAGGGUAGGGGUGAAAUCCUGUAAUCCUGGGAGGACCACCUGUGGCGAAGGCGUCCAGCUGGAACGAACCUGACGGUGAGGGACGAAAGCCAGGGGGGCGAACCGGAUUAGAUACCCGGGUAGUCCUGGCCGUAAACGAUGUGGACUUGGUGUUGGGAUGGCUUCGAGCUGCCCCAGUGCCGAAGGGAAGCUGUUAAGUCCACCGCCUGGGAAGUACGGCCGCAAGGCUGAAACUUAAAUGAAUUGGCGGGG
rnacentral:rRNA from 1 species